CCUACGGGAGGCACCAGUGGGGAAUAUUGCACAAUGGGCGCAAGCCUGUUGCAGCCAUGCCGCGUGUGUGAAGAAGGCCUAGGGUUGUAAAGCUCUUUCACCGGUGAAGAUAAUGACGGUAGCCGGAGAAGAAGCCCCGGCUAACUUCGUGCCAGCAGCCGCGGUAAUACGGAGGGGGCUAGCGUUGUUCGGAAUUACUGGGCGUAAAGCGCGCGUAGGCGGAUAGAUAAGUCAGAGGUGAAAUCCCGGGGCUCAACCCCGGAAUUGCCUUUGAUACUGUUUAUCUUGAGUGCAGAAGAGGUAAGUGGAAUUCCGAGUGUAGAGGUGAAAUUCGUAGAUAUUCGGAGGAACACCAGUGGCGAAGGCGGCUUACUGGUCUGCAACUGACGCUGAGGCGCGAAAGCGUGGGGAGCAAACAGGAUUAGGUACCCUCGUAGUC
rnacentral:rRNA from 1 species